CUAAAAUUGUUAGAAUACAAUACAUUCAACAUAAUUAUUCUAAAGAAUAAUAUUUAAAAAUAUUCAUUAAUACGUAUAUUUUAAUAUGACUAACUUAAACGAUGCACCUACGCUUUUACCAUCUAAACCAAUUUUAUUUUUCUUUGAAGUUUUAUUAGGUAUAAUACUUAUUAUACCAGCCAUCAUGUGGGCAAUAUUAAAAAAAUUAGUUGAAACUCCAAAAAAAAAUGUAAGAGGUCAAGUAAUAGUGAUCACAGGAGGUGGUCGUGGUUUAGGUCGAGAACUUUGCUUGAGAUUUCACAGAUUAGGUGCUAAAGUUGCUUGUGUGGACAUUGAUAUCAAAUGUGCCCGCAAAACAGCAGACAUUAUUAAUGAAGGAGGUGGGGUAGCUAAAAGUUAUUGUGUGGAUAUCACUAACAGAGAACAAAUAAAAUGUAUGCACGCGGAUAUCGUUAAAGAUUUAGGCCCAGUCGACAUAAUAGUGAACAGUGCGGGAAUCGUUAUGAGUCAUGCUUAUGUUAACCCUGAUUCCGAUAAGCUAAUAGAGGACAUCAUAAAUGUAAAUUUAUUGGGACAAUUUUGGGUGAACAGAGAAAUACUACCAUCAAUGCUAGAAAGAAAUAGUGGACAAAUCGUUGCCAUAUCUUCAAUGUCCUCGAUGAGUGGCUUAUCCGGCAUAUCAUCUUACGCCGCUACUAAAUGGGCAACAAAUGGUAUGAUGGAAUGUUUACACAACGAAUUAAAAGCUCUAAACUCAAAUGUAGUAUCUACAACUGUAUGCCCAUAUUUCAUAGAUACUAAUCCAGAACUUUCAGACUAUUUUGAUCUCAGAAUUGAAAAAAUGUCAACGUCUUAUGCUGGUGAAAUCAUUAUGUCAGGAAUACUUAAAAACUGUCGAAUUUUUUCGGUGCCAAAUCAUUUUAUGGGAAUAGUGGCAUUAGCAAGUCAAUUUAUUGGGCUCCCAUCUCUUGGUCCUAAAGUUACAAGCUUCUUAAAUCCAGAGGUUUUAAGUCCUUGGUCAGUUGAUUUAAUUCGUACAAAAACAAGAAAACAUUUCCCUAGGCCGAAUGAAACAUCUCGUAUUAGAAAACAUGUGUUAAUGAUCUCUGGGUGUCGUUCAUUUCAAUCGGUUCAGUUUUACAGUGAUUUACAAGGAAAAAUAAAAGUGAAUUCUAAAUCUGUUCGAAAUGUUAAUUAUUGUAUACCAGUACUUACAGAAGAAAGAAAAAAGACAAUUAAUAAAAUUGUUACUUUACAAAUCUCUGGUCACUAUUUAAAUUGUACUUCAUUUAUACGAGAUGGUAACAUUUUGGCUAACUGGAAAAUGAUUAAUCUUCCAGAAGAUAUCUUUAAAUUCAACUUAGAUGAUGUUUAUAAUACAGUAGUUGAAGUUAUGAAAGAUUUACCUGAAGGUGAUGUUUAUCUAAUAGAAAAUUAUGUAAAAAUGCCCAGUAAUGUAAAUGUUGCUGGUGCCAAUCUUUUUUACAUCAAGCUACAAAUGCUGGCUAUGCUUAUUGCACUAAUCAAUAGUAAAUCAAAUUUCGAUCAGACAAAUAACAAAGUACUUUUGUUAAAAGCACGCUUACAUGCUAGGUUAUUUAGAAUAAUUGUUGGUACUGAAAUCAUUUCUUCACAGACAAUAACUGAAUCAAUGUUAAAGGGUAAUUUUCCAGAGUAUAUAACUCCCAUUUUCCCAUCAAUUGAUGCAGUUUUAAUGUAUAACUCAAUCAAAAAUCCUGCAAUAAAAGAAUUGAUGUCUAAUGGACUUAUGAUAACUAUUGCAUUUGUUGAUUUAAUUUUGAAUUCCAAUCCGAAUAGUUUACAAGCACUUACAAGAAGUACAAGAAAAAAACAAAAAAAUAAUGAUUUUAUGUAUAGCUUCAUGUUGACGUAAUGUUGAUAAGCACUUAAAUGAUGAAUCACAAAUAAAACAUUGAUAUGGUCUUUCACCUGUAUGUUGUCGUUGAUGUACACCUAAUUGAGAUUUAUUAGGAAGCUGUUUACCGCAUAUUUCACACAUAAAAUUCAUAUAAUCAACAAAAAAUACCUGAUCAAAAAUGUUAUUUUUAUUGCAUCUUUUGUUGACUUUCAUUGUUGUCAUCUAUAAUAUCAAUAUAAAAAUUUAGACAUUACUUAUUAUAUAAUUAUUUAUUAUAUUAUAAAAAUAAAAAUAUAAUAUGACAAUAAAAAAAAUAAAUAAAAUCCUUGUACAUAUAAAUUUCAAUUAUUAUGAAUAUAGUGUACAAUCAACUUGUUC